AGGAAGCAUUUCACUGUAGGUUAGGGCUUGUAAGGAAGCAUUUCACUGUAGGUUAGGGCUUGUAAGGAAGCAUUUCACUGUAGGUUAGGGCUUGUAAGGAAGCAUUUCACUGUAGGUUAGGGCUUGUAAGGAAGCAUUUCACUGUAGGUUAGGGCUUGUAAGGAAGCAUUUCACUGUAGGUUAGGGCUUGUAAGGAAGCAUUUCACUGUAGGUUAGGGCUUGUAAGGAAGCAUUUCACUGUAGGUUAGGGCUUGUAAGGAAGCAUUUCACUGUAGGUUAGGGCUUGUAAGGAAGCAUUUCACUGUAGGUUAGGGCUUGUAAGGAAGCAUUUCACUGUAGGUUAGGGCUUGUAAGGAAGCAUUUCACUGUAGGUUAGGGCUUGUAAGGAAGCAUUUCACUGUAGGUUAGGGCUUGUAAGGAAGCAUUUCACUGUAGGUUAGGGCUUGUAAGGAAGCAUUUCACUGUAGGUUAGGGCUUGUAAGGAAGCAUUUCACUGUAGGUUAGGGCUUGUAAGGAAGCAUUUCACUGUAGGUUAGGGCUUGUAAGGAAGCAUUUCACUGUAGGUUAGGGCUUGUAAGGAAGCAUUUCACUGUAGGUUAGGGCUUGUAAGGAAGCAUUUCACUGUAGGUUAGGGCUUGUAAGGAAGCAUUUCACUGUAGGUUAGGGCUUGUAAGGAAGCAUUUCACUGUAGGUUAGGGCUUGUAAGGAAGCAUUUCACUGUAGGUUAGGGCUUGUAAGGAAGCAUUUCACUGUAGGUUAGGGCUUGUAAGGACGCAUUUCACUGUAGGUUAGGGCUUGUAAGGAAGCAUUUCACUGUCGUGUUUGGCGCAUGUGACAACUUUGAUUUGCUUGUGUUUCUUGGCCCAAGUAAGUCUCUUCUUCUUAUUGGUGUCCUUUAGUAGUAGUUUCUUUGCAGCAAUUUG